rnacentral:rRNA from 1 species
GACGAACGCUGGCGGCGUGCUUAACACAUGCAAGUCGAACGGAAAGGCCCUGCUUUUGUGGGGUGCUCGAGUGGCGAACGGGUGAGUAACACGUGAGUAACCUGCCCUUGACUUUGGGAUAACUUCAGGAAACUGGGGCUAAUACCGGAUAGGAGCUCCUGCUGCAUGGUGGGGGUUGGAAAGUUUCGGCGGUUGGGGAUGGACUCGCGGCUUAUCAGCUUGUUGGUGGGGUAGUGGCUUACCAAGGCUUUGACGGGUAGCCGGCCUGAGAGGGUGACCGGGCACAUUGGGACUGAGAUACGGCCCAGACUCAUACGGGAGGCAGCAGUGGGGAAUAUUGCACAAUGGGCGGAAGCCUGAUGCAGCAACGCCGCGUGCGGGAUGACGGCCUUCGGGUUGUAAACCGCUUUCGCCUGUGACGAAGCGUGAGUGACGGUAAUGUGUAAAGAAGCACCGGCUAACUACGUG